AGUUUGAUAUGCGAACAAAGCCAUGGAGAGAAGACCGCAAUUCUUUGAUUAACCUGUUGAAGAGUUUAGUUGGGAAGCCUGAAAAAGUUUCGAAUAAGAAAAAAAGUUUUGAAGAAAAGCUCUCAUCUUUGAGCCUUUCAUUGGGUUUUCCAAACAAAUUGUUUUUAAAGUUUCUAAUAUCUCGAGGACAAUAUGCAGUGCAACAAAGAGAAUUAUCAAAG